CCUACGGGUGGCUGCAGUGAGGAAUAUUGGUCAAUGGGCGAAAGCCUGAACCAGCCAUGCCGCGUGCAGGAAGACGGCUCUAUGAGUUGUAAACUGCUUUUGUACGAGGGUAAACACAGAUCCGUGUAUCUGCUUGAAAGUAUCGUACGAAUAAGGAUCGGCUAACUCCGUGCCAGCAGCCGCGGUAAUACGGAGGAUCCAAUCGUUAUCCGGCUUUAGUGGGUUUAAAGGGUGCGUAGGAGGUUUAGUAAGUCAGCGGUGAAAUUUUGGUGCGCAACACCAAACGUGCCGUUGAUACGGAUGAGAUAUAGAGUAGUUGCGGUAGGCGGAAUGUAGGGUGUAGCGGUGAA
rnacentral:rRNA from 1 species